CAGUAGCCGCGGUAAUACGAAGGGGGCUAGCGUUGCUCGGAAUGACUGGGCGUAAAGGGCGCGUAGGCGGUGGCCAAAGUCAGGCGUGAAAUUCCUGGGCUCAACCUGGGGGCUGCGCUUGAUACUUGGUUGCUUGAGUGGGGAAGAGGGUCGUUGAAUUCCCAGUGUAGAGGUGAAAUUCGUAGAUAUUGGGAAGAACACCGGUGGCGAAGGCGGCGACCUGGUCCUUGACUGACGCUGAGGCGCGAAAGCGUGGGGAGCAAACAGGAUUAGAUACCCCCGUAGUCCCUGUCUCUUAUAA
rnacentral:rRNA from 1 species